CUAACACAUGCAAGUCGAACGCAGUAGCAAUACUGAGUGGCAGACGGGUGAGUAACAUGUGGGAAUCUGCCUUGUGGUUCAGGACAACAUUGGGAAACCGAUGCUAAUACUGGAUAAGCCCUUACGGGGAAAGUUUUAAUGCCAUAAGAUGAGCCCGCAUUUGAUUAGUUAGUUGGUGAGGUAAUGGCUCACCAAGACUAUGAUCAAUAGCUGAUCUGAGAGGAUGAUCAGCCACACUGGGACUGAGACACGGCCCAGACUCCUACGGGAGGCAGCAGUGGGGAAUCUUGCACAAUGGAGGAAACUCUGAUGCAGCGAUGCCGCAUGAGUGAAGAAGGCCUUUGGGUUGUAAAGCUCUUUUGUAGGGGAAGAUAAUGACUGUACCCUAAGAAUAAGGUCCGGCUAACUUCGUGCCAGCAGCCGCGGUAAUACGAAGGGACCUAGCGUAGUUCGGAAUUACUGGGCGUAAAGCGCGCGUAGGCCGUUGAGUUAGUUAAUUGUGAAAUCCCAAAGCUUAACUUUGGAACUGCAAUUAAAACUGCUCGACUAGAGAUUGAUAGAGGAAAGCGGAAUACAUAGUGUAGAGGUGAAAUUCGUAGAUAUUAUGUAGAACACCAGUUGCGAAGGCGGCUUUCUGGAUCAACACUGACGCUGAGGCGCGAAAGUAUGGGUAGCAAAGAGGAUUAGAUACCCUCGCAGUCCAUACCAUAAACGAUGAUUGCUAGAUGUUGGAAAUUUAUUUUCAGUAUCGCAGCUAACGCAUUAAGCAAUCCGCCUGGGGAGUACGACCGCAAGGUUAAAACUCAAAUGAAUUGACGG
rnacentral:rRNA from 1 species